rnacentral:misc_RNA from 1 species
GAUGAAGAACGCAGCGAAAUCCGAUAAGUAAUGUGAAUUGCAGAAUUCAGUGAAUCAUCGAAUCUUUGAACGCACAUUGCGCCCCCUGGUAUUCCGGGGGGCAUGCCUGUUCGAGCGUCAUUUCACCACUCAAGCCUCGCUUGGUAUUGGGCGACGCGGUCCGCCGCGCGCCUCAAAUCGACCGGCUGGGUCUUCCGUCCCCUCAGCGUUGUGGAAACUAUUCGCUAAAGGGUGCCGCGGGAGGUCACGCCGCAAAACAACCCCAUUUCUAAGGUUGACCUCGGAUCAGGUAGGGAUACCCGCUGAACUUAAGCAUAUCAAUAAGCGGAGGA